CUUCUCUCUCCCUUGACUAAAGUUAGGGGUUUAUAUAGCAGAGAAGGAAAACAGGAGGGGGAAGGAAGUGGAGUUGGUCAACAGGCAGCAGGUGGUCAAAUGAGGGGUCUGGCAUCUCUUUGUAGCCAUGUGAAGGAAGAAGGAAUUAGGGAGGGGUGAGAAAGAGGAUGUGGUUGACAUGCAGCAGGUGCAUCUCAGUGUACAAAUAACACCAUGAAGUCAUCUUCUACUUACUCACAAUUGGAUUAUAAACUGUGUGAGGGCAGAGCCUAAGACUAACUCAUGUCUGCGUUCUAAGAUACUGGAGCAGUGUCUGGCUCAUAAAGGACAUCAAUGGGUGUCCUAAAUACAUGUCAAUUGCUUGAAUUGAAUGACAGGGCAGAUUGGCUAUGGGGCAGGUCUCAGAGUGUGUAGGUUUAUUCCUAGAGCAUAUGGGCCCGGAACUUUCUUCAGGAAAGAAGGUCUGGGAAGUAUGUGUGCAGUGACAUUUCUUGUGUUCCUCCCUAACUUGAAAAUCCCCCUCUUCUGACAACAGUGAGGCUCUAGGACCCUGUCCUUACACUUAGUGGACCCAAGCAUGGAGCAUGUGACCCUGGCCAGAGCCAAUCAGAAUAUCCCUGGCCAGUGGUUCAGGAGUGGGCACAUAAGCUAAGUCAGCCCAGCAAGAAUGAAUCUUAGGACUUCUUCAAAAAUUACUGGAAAAGACACUUGCUCUUUCCUGCUGAACUUGAAUAGAAAGCUGGAGUCACUGGAGCUCUCAUGCCACUAUAGGGACCAUCGGAAUGAAGCCAACACACCAAGGAAAGCCAGAAUGCUGAAAGACACUAGUUACUGCUGAAAUAGCUUGAAGCAAGUAACCAGUUUUACCCUUGGACUUUUCCUAUUCCUAGGUAUAAGUCCAACUAGUAGAGCCACG
rnacentral:lncRNA from 1 species